UACGUAGGGUGCAAGCGUUAAUCGGAAUUACUGGGCGUAAAGCGUGCGCAGGCGGUUUUGUAAGUCUGUCGUGAAAGCCCCGGGCUCAACCUGGGAAUUGCGAUGGAGACCGCAAGGCUUGAAUCUGGCAGAGGGGGGUAGAAUUCCACGUGUAGCAGUGAAAUGCGUAGAGAUGUGGAGGAACACCGAUGGCGAAGGCAGCCCCCCUGGGUCAAGAUUGACGCUCAUGCACGAAAGCGUGGGGAGCAAACAGG
rnacentral:rRNA from 1 species